GACGAACGCUGGCGGCGUGCUUAACACAUGCAAGUCGAACGGAAAGGCCCUGCUUUUGUGGGGUGCUCGAGUGGCGAACGGGUGAGUAACACGUGAGUAACCUGCCCUUGACUUUGGGAUAACUUCAGGAAACUGGGGCUAAUACCGGAUAGGAGCUCCUGCUGCAUGGUGGGGGUUGGAAAGUUUCGGCGGUUGGGGAUGGACUCGCGGCUUAUCAGCUUGUUGGUGGGGGAGUGGCUUACCAAGGCUUUGACGGGUAGCCGGCCUGAGAGGGUGACCGGCCACAUUGGGACUGAGAUACGGCCCAGACUCCUACGGGAGGCAGCAGUGGGGAAUAUUGCACAAUGGGCGGGAGCCUGAUGCAGCAACGCCGCGUGCGGGAUGACGGCCUUCGGGGUGUAAACCGCUUUCGCCUGUGACGAAGCGUGAGUGACGGUAAUGGGUAAAGAAGCACCGGCUAACUACGUG
rnacentral:rRNA from 1 species